UACGGGGGGUGCGAGCGUUGUCCGGAAUCACUGGGCGUAAAGGGCGCGUAGGUGGCCUGGUAAGUCUGUGGUGAAAGCCCGGAGCUCAACUCCGGGUCUGCCGCGGAUACUGCGAGGCUUGAGUGCUGUAGAGGGGGGUAGAAUGCCGGGUGUAGCGGUGGAACGCGUAGAGAUCCGGCAGAAGACCGGUGGCGAAGGCGGCCCCCUGGGCAGUAACUGACACUGAGGCGCGACAGCGUGGGGAGCAAACAGG
rnacentral:rRNA from 1 species